rnacentral:tRNA from 1 species
CAGAUUAGGUCUUUAUAGUUAAGAGUUUCAUUUACACUGGAGAAUUUGUCGUGCAAUUCGAUAUAAUCUGA